GAGACCCGUGCCCACUGUUACCAGCAUAUCCUCCGGGAUGAUGGGUACUCUGUGGGGACCGCCGGUGUUAAAUCGGAGGAAGGUGCGGGCCACGGUAGGUCAGUAUGCCCCGAAUUUCCCGGGCUACACGCGGGCUACAAUGGAUGGGACAAUGGGUCCCUACCCCGAAAGGGGAUGGCAAUCUCACAAACCCAUCCGUAGUUCGGAUCGAGGGCUGUAACUCGCCCUCGUGAAGCUGGAAUCCGUAGUAAUCGCGUUUCAAUAUAGCGCGGUGAAUAC
rnacentral:rRNA from 2 species